AAUAAAAUGCCUGAUUAAAAGGAUUAUCUUGAUAGGAUAAAAUAUAUGAUUAAAUCAUUUUUAUUA